ACAUUUUGGAUUUGUCCUUCUCAGCAGACUUUCUCAAGAUGCAUUAGAAAAUUUAUUCUCUAUGAUUAGAGGAAAGAAUCCAGUUCCAACUCCAAAAUAAUUCAAAAGUGCACUUAGAAUGAUAUCUGCAGCACAAUAUUUUAAACCAAAUUGAAAUGGUAAUUAUGAGGCAGAAGAUUCUGAUUUCCUCUUUGAGUAUUUGAAGACACGACAAAGUUCGUCGACUAAAAUAGAUUUACCUGAUUUUACCUACGGAAGCAGUUUGUGCGACGAGAACGUUAGCCCUAAUCAAUUUAUUGAAAACAAUGUAAAUCCUGAGAACAGCUCUUCACGAAAUACAACGGAUGUCUCUACAUCUAUUUAUAUGGAUCUGGAAUCGAUUGGUUCAGUUUUAUCUGGUACAUGAAUAAAAUCUUUAUUUCGAAAUUUCAGAUAUCUCAAUAUCUUCGACUGUUACGAAGUAAUAUAAAAUUUUUUUGUACUAAAAAAUUUUUUUUUUACUGCAGUAUGUAGGUUUCAUUGAUGCUUUAUAAUUGUACAUUUUUCAUAAUGAAAACAAAUACUUUAUUUGCAGAAGAAGAAGGUCAAUCUUUAUAUAAACUUAGUGGAGCAGUUGUACGA